GGGAGAUGGCUCAGUGGUUAAGAGCACUGGCUGCUCUCCCAGAGGCCCUGGGUUCGAUUCUCAGCACCCA
rfam:Mesocricetus auratus contig007814, whole genome shotgun sequence.